UGAGGGAAAGUUGAAAAGGACUUUGAAGAGAGAGUUCAAGAGUACGUGAAACCGUUCGGAGGUAAACGAGUGGGCCCUCGAAGUGUGAAGGCGGGGGGACUCAGCCGAACGCCGUCGAGCCCGCCGGCGGGUCCGCGCUUCCCUCCCGGGACGCGGCCCGCCGGUGUGCUGGCUCCGGCGCGCGGCGCAUUUCCUCCCGUCCUCCGACGCCGCGACCGGUCGGGCACGCCACGAGCAGUCGGCCUUACUCGCGGGAAACGGAAGGUAGCCGGGUCGGCGCGCACGCGCCGAUCCCCGGUGUUCUAGCCGUCCCGCAAUCGAGUCAGCCGUUCGCCCGACCGCAGGAACCAAGGCCCUCAGGGGCCCCGCCGUGCCCUCCCCGCUCGGGGAUCGCUUCCCGUCUCGGAAGGGAUGCCGCUUGUCUCCGCGCCGCACCUCCGGUGCGCGUGGGGCGGCGGCGCCCGCUGGCCGGGGCGGUCGCGAUUCGGGUGCUGGCGGUCUGCGGCGAGUAGGUCGGUCACCCACUCGACCCGUCUUGAAACCCGG
rnacentral:rRNA from 1 species